rnacentral:tRNA from 1 species
GCGCGAGUGGCGGAAUUGGUAGACGCGCACGGUUCAGGUCCGUGUGCCUUUUAUCGGGCGUGGGGGUUCGAGUCCCCCCUCGCGCA